rnacentral:rRNA from 1 species
AGUGAACGCUGGCGGUAGGCCUAACACAUGCAAGUCGAACGGCAGCACAGUAAGAGCUUGCUCUUACGGGUGGCGAGUGGCGGACGGGUGAGGAAUACAUCGGAAUCUACUUUUUCGUGGGGGAUAACGUAGGGAAACUUACGCUAAUACCGCAUACGACCUACGGGUGAAAGCAGGGGAUCUUCGGACCUUGCGCGAUUGAAUGAGCCGAUGUCGGAUUAGCUAGUUGGCGGGGUAAAGGCCCACCAAGGCGACGAUCCGUAGCUGGUCUGCGAGGAUGAUCAGCCACACUGGAACUGAGACACGGUCCAGACUCCUACGAGAGGCAGCAGUGGGGAAUAUUAGACAAUGGGCGCAAGCCUGAUCCAGCCAUACCGCGUGGGUGAAGAAGGCCCUCGGGUUGUAAAGCCCUUUUGUUGGGAAAGAAAAGCAGCAGGUUAAUACCCCGCUGUUCUGACGGUACCCAAAGAAUAAGCACCGGCUAACUUCGUG